rnacentral:rRNA from 1 species
AGAGUUUGAUCAUGGCUCAGAACGAACGCUGGCGGCGCGUUUUAAGCAUGCAAGUCGAACGGGAUUUCGGUGCUUGCACCGGAUGAGAGUGGCGAACGGGUGAGUAACGCGUAGAUGAUCUGCCCUUUAGUUGGGGAUAACCCAUGGAAACAUGGGAUAAUACCGAAUGAGCUCUGUGAUUCGAUUUGCAGAGGAAAGCGGCUUUGGCCGCGCUGAAGGAUGAGUCUGCGUAUGAUUAGCUAGUUGGUGGGGUAAAGGCCUACCAAGGCGACGAUCAUUAGCCGGCCUGAGAGGGUGACCGGCCACAUUGGGACUGAGACACGGCCCAGACUCCUACGGGAGGCAGCAGCUAAGAAUCUUCCGCAAUGGACGCAAGUCUGACGGAGCGACGCCGCGUGGACGAAGAAUGCCGAGAGGUUGUAAAGUCCUUUUCUUUCAGAAGAAUAACCGGAGGAGGGAAUGCCUCUGGGAUGACGUUAUGAGAGGAAUAAGCUCCGGCCAAUUACGUGCCAGCAGCCGCGGUAACACGUAAGGAGCGAGCGUUGUUCGGAAUUAUUGGGCGUAAAGGGCCCGUAGGCGGUUAUAUAAGUCUGAUGUGAAAGACAGCAGCUCAACUGCAGGAACGCAUUGGAAACUGUAUGACUUGAAUCCUGGAGGGGGGUACUGGAAUUCCUGGUGUAGGGGUGAAAUCUGUUGAUAUCAGGAAGAACACCGGAGGCGAAGGCGAGUACCUGGACAGUGAUUGACGCUGAGGGGCGAAAGCGUAGGGAGCAAACAGGAUUAGAUACCCUAGUAGUCC